rnacentral:lncRNA from 1 species
UUGUACACUCUUGUGCCAACUGCUUUGAUAGUAACAAAAUGUAUUUCUCGAACUCCUAGGUAUAAAACUCAAGUAUCCACUAUUUAAAUUCUUUUUUGCUCACUUCUAGUAUGUUUCCAGUCUCAAUAGAAAUCGAUGCCAAUCCAGAAAUACAAGCAUUAUUCUAAUACUUCUCACACAUUACUGGAGUGAGGACACAGCGAAAGUGAGACAAGGAAAAGAGAACAAAAUAAAACAGGAAAGACAGAAAAGCCAAUACCACACGUGUUAAGAGUUUCAAGGAAAAUAUGUUGGGAGUUCCUGGCAUAGAGAAUGUCACAAAGACAUGUUUUCAAUAGUAGUGCUAUCCCGAGGGCAGAGAAGACCCAGAGAAAGCCCAAGUGGCUGCUGGAACAAAAUCAGACACCGUGCCACCUGUCCACACUCCUUGGCUCUGCCAUCAUGCUGAAGAUCGCUUUAAAGGACUGGCUUCCCUCCCCCCAAAAUUAAAAGAGCACAGACUGAGAAACUGAAUGUGGGAGACAGCAGUGGAUUAUGCUGUUCUCAGGGGUCACCUCAGGUUUGGAAGCAUUCUUUCAAAUUAACCCAUCUCAGGCCAUCUGCAGAGAAGAAAGGUGGUACCUAACUUUUUUUCUUGUCGGCAUUUGGUAGGGGUGUUUUAUUGACCAAAUAUGUUCCCACAACCUAGUUUUUUGUGACUAACUAAAUAUAGUAGAGUUUUAAAUUUUAUCAUCAAAAUCUAUAGACAAUUUUUGAUGAAAAUAGACUCCAUCUCUAUGUCCUGCUUUUCUUCUUCUUAUUAAUUACAUUGCUGUAUAAAAGAACAAGACUUCAGCAUCAAGAAUAUCUUGUCUCUUGGCAUUGAAUUUAUACAAGGUGCUCUUUCUUUAAUGCUGUCUCAAAGGACAUAUUUUUACUCAUUAAAAAGGAAGAUCGGAAUCUAGUUGUAUGCACUGCUCCAACAUAUUAAUAAUUAAAAUUAGGAGGUAAAUGUGGUCAAAGCUAUAGAAAGACUGAGAUGUCAUUUAUAUGGAUUACUCUAUAGCACUCUACAAACAGAAAUUGUUAAAUAAUAGUUUAUAUAAAUAUUUUGUAGCAUUUCAAAUAUUUGAGUGCUUGAAGUUUCUCCUCUUCUAUAGUUCAGAUUAUCAAUUUGAAGACUUACUCCGCUAGUUAAUAUGUUUUUAGUCUCGUUUGAGUAUUAUAUAAAAGCAAUUUUCAGUUAAAUGUGUUCCGCUUACAUAAAACGUUACAAAUUAUUGAGGAUUUAAUUACUUAUUCAUGUUCCUGUAAUGUCUUUAGAAGAUUUUCUUAUUAUUACCUAUCAAUAUAUGUAUGCUUUGUCAAAGAAAAAUCAAACAUAUAUAUCAUUGAAAUUGAAACUUUUUAAAAGUACUUA